CUCUGAUACCUCUAUGCACGUUAUUAUCCGGAUACUGCAAAGGUGAAUUUGCAGCUUCCCAGUGGUACUGCAGUAUCUUUCCACAAUAUAUUGUCUGAAGUAGCACAGAGAUAAUUUGUCUUCACAAAAUUACUUAAUCUCAUGUUUCCUCUACCUAGGAAGAGGUAAACCUACUGGGUUUAAGAGUGCCAAAGGGCUUUGUGUUUGCUCUUUACUCUAUUGCUACUGCUGUGGAUUUUCAAUCACCUUCAUCCCAUGUUCAGAAAUAGGAGAUUGUUCACAUAAGACAUCAGAAGCACCUUUUUUUUUUCUUUUUUUCUUUUCCCUGUGAAAUGAAAGAUGCAAAGCUGUCAGCAAAUUCAACAUGAACUUCACUACAAGAGUGCAGACUCGCAGACUCUUGCCACAGCCCAGAGAGCAUGAGCAGAGGACAAGAGAGGACAGGAAGGAGAGGACCUGGAGGAAAACCCAGAACAAACACAGAAGAAACACGUACCGAAAGUGUCUGGUGUCCCAGCGAAACGUACCGUGAGAAUGCCGUGCCUGGCUACGUGCAGAGGAAGAGUGUCACCGAGCCAGGAGCCAAGAGGGGGGUGCAGCAUCUGGUGGCAGCAGAAGGAUGUGCCUGUGAGCACCGUGCUUUGAAGCACGGGGCCUCUGCUAAAUGUCUUCCUCCUGGCACCACAGCUCCCCCUCUGCAGUGGGACCCCAUAUGCCGAGCACAGCUAGUGAGGGAGUAAUAAAUCAGGGCGACCAGCUGCGGCUGCCGGGAAAGGUCAGGCAGCAGGAGCAAAGCUGGGGGACAAUGAUGCGAGUGCGGGGUGGGAUGCAAGGAAGGAGCCUGAGGCAGGAGUCAGCUCCCAGCCGUGAGAGACUCAUGCAAGAAGCAUGAAAGGUAGCGACCUCUUCAAAGGGAGAAGACGGGUUAAAAAACGACGGUGCCCUCGUUUGGUGUAAAGUGCUCGAGAAGAUGAGGUGCAAUACUUCGGGUUUCAGUCUGCGAGCUGAACAACCCCUCCUCACUCUCUGUGUCCUGGAGAAGACAAGUCUGACGAAGGACUCAUGCAAGAGGCAAACGAAAUGCUCAUCUCCAUUCUUGUUAGUUGCUGAGAGAUUUAUAUGUGCAGGAAAGUGGGGGCUCAAGUUAGCAGCUAACAGCAGCUCUGCUUCUGUUUUGUGGUGGAAAAAAUGGGUCCAAUUCUUCCCCUCUCUCCUCCUGUUCACCCUCAUCACACCACAUCUGGCCCAAGGAGAACUCUGCAGCUGCUGCCACUCGGUCCUAGCAAACCUAGGAAGGGAGAAGGAGCUCCCUGGGGCAAGGCCCACCAGCACCCUGUCAGGGUGGCAAAGGGAGCUGUGCAUUCCCUAGGGCACCGGUGCGCUCAGGUAAAGCUGGAGGAAUAAAAGGGAUUGGCGUGGUGCUGCA
rnacentral:lncRNA from 1 species